AUGCCGUUCAUUCUCCCUUUUGGACGGGGCAUGAGGAUAAGGAAGAUUUUGGAUUGGAGUAGCGCUCACUACCUCUUUUCCCUUUGCAACUCUAGAACUCCUCCAUCUAGGCUUUUUCACUACCUCCCCUAUUACCUCAUCACUUGUAUUUUUCCCAAUCUCCACACUUAUUCCUUUUUCAACUUCACCAUUCUGUUCGUUAUUUUCAACU
rnacentral:lncRNA from 1 species